UGGGCAAAGUUGUUUUAGCGAUCUGGUUGCAACUAAGUAUUGGAGUUGUUGUGCCUUGAAGCUAGAAACUGCCUUGAAUUUCUACAUAGGGAAAUGUAAUCUAUUGCUUUCUUACAGAUUGCCAUUUGCCAGCUGACCUGUGACACAGCAGCAGUGUAUUACAUUUUCAAUGAGCAGUCUGUCUGGAGCUGCUAGUGGGAGAAACUGCUUCCUGGUUUCUAGGGGAGGCAGAUGAUGAAUAAAUGAACAAAAAAUAUAAUAAUGGAUAUGUAUUUAUAAGUGCUAUGAAGAGAAGAAAUCCAAGCAAGAAGAGAGUGAAAUGAGGUAUCCUGUAAGAACAAAUUGCUGCCUCCUCCAGGUGGAAAGGGAUCAAAUAUAAUUAAUCUGUGUGUGCCACACAGUAGCUUGAUAGUUUAAUUGAGGAAUGUUGACAUAUUGAGAGCUCAGCAUUACUUUCUGCUAUCAGCAGUGACGGCAUAAGAGCUGUAUCCUAACUGCACUGCUGAAUUUGGGCUUCCUGUGGGGGCACGGCAAGUGCCCUCUUUGAGAGUGAGGAGGCUGAGAGUCUCACACCAACAGGAAUGAGUGCUUUGAAAUUAACUGGUGUUUGGAAAUUGAUCUGCUGACUGAGCUGGGCUCUCAAGCUCUUCUCGACAACCAUGUAAGAAGCGAUGACAAUUGUACUACUUCAUAACAGCUGCAUGGAACUCUGACACACACUUCACAGCAACCAGUCAUCUAUAUAAACCAAUUUCAGGAGCAAAAUUGCAUGGUGCCUCCACUCUGUUAUAAACACAAUGAUAUCCACUCAAAGCUGAUAAAUGCACUACAUUUCUCUGCAGCUUAAAAGAAUAAGUUCCUUGCAUCUGAGAUUUCCUUCCCACAAAUUAAGUCAUUUUUUUUGUCCUAGCCAUUAAUUUAAAACUUUAGAAAGAACAAGACCAUUUAGAUUUUGAAUACCCGUAAAAUAAAGAAAUUUCAGUCUUAACAUUUUGGUUCUCCAACUAAAUACACUUUCAAUUUUUUUUGGAAUAUCUCUGCCAGACUUUCCUAAUUGAUGAUCUGAAGGAGAAAGCAAAAGGAAGAAGUAAUUAAGGUUUAAAAUACUUACCACUGCCAUAGCAAUUCACCAGUUAAUUACAAUAUCUUUUCAUAGGAUUAUACACAAUACAAUUCUUAUUAUUGAAUAAAACAUCUACAAGCAACCUGGAAACUAUUGUUAAAACUUAAAUCUUAACUACCCUGUGUUUGGUGAAUAAUAAAGCUUUGGUGAAUCCGUUAAUAAUUCCAAUAGAGUCAAGUAAGAUAAAGAGGUCACUCAUAUUUUUAAAUACACUCUUGUAUUACCAACACACAUUUUUAAAUUAAGGUUGAAAAGACAUGGGUAAAAAUUAUGUACAGUUUCAGAUAAAAAAGACAGACACCCAAUUUUUUCAUGUUGAUAACAGUGACAUAUAUUGUGUAUAUAUAUGAGCAUAUAUGAGUACAUAUAUACAUAUAUAUUAUGAGAAUAUAUGUGUAUAUACAUAUAUGUAUAUAUCCUCAUUUAUAUAUGUAUAAAUAUGUCUAUCAUGUAUACACAUAUAUCCUCAUAAUAUAUAUCUGUAUAUGUACUCAUAUGAUAUAUAUGUAUCUAUGAGGAUAUAUACAUAUAUGUAUAUAUACAUAUAUCCUCAUAAUAUAUAUCUGUAAAUGUACUCAUAUACACUCAAUAUAAACAUAUAUACAUUAUGAGUACAUAGUCAUAAUCAUUUCAGAUAUUAGAAAAUGUGUAUACAUUUAUUUUUUCAUUUUCUUUAUUCUAACAAUUUUACAGGAAGUCAGAGGAAUAGAAUAUUUGAGCAGAGAGAACAGCAAACGUACUUCAUAGGACACAUAUUUUAAUAAAUUAUAAUUUAUUAAUAUGUUGAAACUUAAUUACAGAGACAAACUCUGCUGUGUCUAGUGGAGUUUACUGCUGAACAAAUGGAAGGACUAUAUUAUUGUACUACUUAAACUAUACGAUCUUAUGGCAUAAUAUUCAAUGAGUGUCCAUUGUCAAUAUGUUAAUGUACACUACCAGUGGACUUAUAAUUUCUGGCAUUAGUUAAGAACUUUACAACAAUAACUUAAAAUGAUAAAUGUUAGUUUCAGAAGUGAGUCUCAUGUGAGCUUCACUGCUUUAACAAAAGUGUGAAAACAAGUGAUCUAAUAAAU
ensembl:lncRNA novel transcript